UCUGCAAGUUAAAAAGUUAAAUUAGAGCUGAAAAAAAAUCAUUAUACGGAAGCAAGCUUUUGGCUAUAGAGUGGUUAAGGUUCCAACGCAUCGAGUCAGUUAAUUACUCUGAAUCUUCGCUGCUAAUCAAGGGUUAGCCCACCGAAACCCAUCACUAUGACAUCUACGAACUAACGCCAGGGGGCAAAAAAGGAGCGAAUUACAUGAUUAAGUUUCUUGACUGCCAAGCGUCUUACAUCGGAGAGAUUGUUUAGAACCUCGACACGAGACCGAGGUAGGAACACAAACUAGCGAGGAAGAAGGGUGAUAUCAACAAUCAAUGAACAUCAUUGACUAUUGAUCGGAACUCAGCUCAAUUUUACGACUUAGGGAACAAUCAAACUGCAGUCAAUUACUGACUUUGGAAUGCAGACUUUUCGCCUAAAGCCGCCAAUUACGUUUUACAUGUUUGAGUUUACUACUGGCCAGCUUCCCGAUAAUUGACGUGAAAAGAAAGGUAAAAAGGAGUUGAAGUACUACCAGCUUUGGAGCUUGUUACCUGUUUUACGGUACAUGGAAUUUUUAAACAAAUAGAUUGACUCUCGUAACAAGAAUCUUGAAUUCCACUCAGCUAGACUGUUGUCAUGCAAUCAUUGUAAAAAAUAAACACUUUCAAAUUUA